rnacentral:rRNA from 1 species
AUUGAACGCUGGCGGCAGGCCUAACACAUGCAAGUCGAACGAGUGGCGGACGGGUGAGCAAUGUCUGGGAAACUGCCUGCUGGCGGGGGAUAUCUACUGGAAACGGUAGCUCAUACCGCAUACCAUCAGAUGUGCCCAGAUGGGCUUAGCUUGCUGGUGGGGUAACGGCUCACUAAGGCGACGAUCCCUAGCUGGUCUGAGGGGAUGACAAGCAACAAUGGAACUGAGACACGGGCCAAAAUCCUACGGGAGGCAGCAGUGGGGAAGAUUGCACAAUGGGCGCAAGCAUGAUGCAGCAAUGCCGCGUGUAUGAAGAAGGCCUUCGGGUUGUAAAGUACUUUCAGCGGGGAGGCGUUACCCGCAGAAGAAGCACCGGCUGACUCCGUGCCAGCAGCCGCGGUAAUAC